GAUGAAGAACGCAGCGAAAUGCGAUAAGUAAUGUGAAUUGCAGAAUUCAGUGAAUCAUCGAAUCUUUGAACGCACAUUGCGCCCGCCAGUAUUCUGGCGGGCAUGCCUGUUCGAGCGUCAUUUCAACCAUCAAGCCCCCGGGCUUGUGUUGGGGUCCUGCGGCUGCCGCAGGCCCUGAAAAGCAGUGGCGGGCUCGCUGUCACACCGAGCGUAGUAGAUUUUAUCUCGCUCAGGGCGUGCUGCGGGUUCCGGCCGUUAAACCACCUUCAUAACCCAAGGUUGACCUCGGAUCAGGUAGGAAGACCCGCUGAACUUAAGCAUAUCAAUAAGCGGAGGA
rnacentral:misc_RNA from 1 species